UGGACUCAACCUGGAACCUUCAGUUCCAGGCCUCCUGAAAGGCGGCACAGCAAAGGGUUUAAGAACACAGGUCAAAGCCUCUUCUACAAAGAUGGCCUGCUGUUGAGCGACCUCUGUGCCAUGAUCAGGAAAGCACCUUGGAAGUAGAAUCAACCUUCGAGAAAAGUGGAAUCUUCAGUGGGAGGUGUAAUACAGCAACAGAAAACCAAACUCACUAAACUCAGGACCCAUCCUGGUCAGGCCGAGUGGCCUUUGUGAAGGCACUUAAUUGUUUUGUACCCUG
rnacentral:lncRNA from 1 species